rnacentral:rRNA from 1 species
AUUUAAAUGCCUGCUCAUGUGGAUUAAAUUUUCAUAAAUAGCCGCAGAAUCUUAACUGUGCUAAGGUAGCAUAAUCAUUUGCCUCUUAAUUGUGGGCUAGAAUGAAGGGUAAAACAGUUUAUUUCCUUUUUUAACCUUAAUUUAAUAAAAAUUAUACUAAAUAUAAAAAUAUAUUUAUUAAUUAAUUAGACGACAAGACCCUAUCGAACUUUACUUUAGUUUAGCUGGGGCAGCUAAUUAAUCAAAAUUUUAACUCAAUUUAUUCAUAGAGGGAUCCAGUCUAACUGAUAAAUUGAUUAAGUUACCGUAGGGAUAACAGCGUAAUUUACUUUUAAAGCUCUUAUUUAAAAAUAAGAUUGCGACCUCGAUGUUGAAUUAAUUUUCUUUUGCGAGCAAAAUCACAAAUAGUAGGUCUGUUCGACCUUUAAAAUUUUACAUGAUCUGAGUUCAAACCGGA